UACGGAGGGUGCAAGCGUUAUCCGGAUUUACUGGGUUUAAAGGGUGCGCAGGCGGAUAUGUAAGUCAGUGGUGAAAUCUUCCCGCUUAACGGGAAAACUGCCAUUGAUACUAUAUAUCUUGAAUGCUGUGGAGGUAAGCAGAAUAUGUCAUGUAGCGGUGAAAUGCUUAGAGAUGACAUAGAAUACCUAUUGCGAAGGCAGCUAACUACGCGAAUAUUGACGCUGAGGCACGAAAGCGUGGGGAUCAAACAGG
rnacentral:rRNA from 1 species